rnacentral:rRNA from 1 species
UACGGGGGGAGCAAGCGUUGUUCGGAUUUACUGGGCGUAAAGGGCGCGUAGGCGGCGCCGCAAGUCACUUGUGAAAUCUCCGGGCUCAACUCGGAACGGCCAAGUGAUACUGCGGUGCUAGAGUGCGGAAGGGGCAACUGGAAUUCUUGGUGUAGCGGUGAAAUGCGUAGAUAUCAAGAGGAACACCUGAGGUGAAGACGGGUUGCUGGGCUGACACUGACGCUGAGGCGCGAAAGCC